rnacentral:sRNA from 1 species
GCUGCUCUGUUGUCCAGAGUUAUUAAAUGAAACGUCAAGUUGUUAAAGUAAAGCCCUCAGAAUUCCCUAGUUGUUAUCCUUAGUGUUUCCCUCAGCUUCAUAGAUACAUUAAAUAAUUCAAACUUCCAGCGCAUCGAAUUUAUACAAUCAACUUUUAUAUAAGGGACACAACAUGUCUAACAAAGCAACUGGUACUGUAAAAUGGUUCAACGAAACUAAAGGUUUUGGUUUCCUAACUCAAGACAACGGCGGCGCUGACGUAUUCGUUCACUUCCGUGCAAUUGCUUCUGAAGGUUUCAAGACUCUAGCUGAAGGUCAAAAAGUAUCUUUUGAAGUAGAGCAAGGCCAAAAAGGUCUUCAAGCUGCAAACGUAGUUACUCUAUAAGAGUAAAAUUGACGCAGACGGCCAGUCCGACUGCGUCAACU